AUUUAGGUAGUUUAAAAAAAAUAUUGAUUUGUGGAGUCAAUGAUAUAGGUUUAUCUUAAAUU
rnacentral:tRNA from 1 species